rnacentral:rRNA from 1 species
AUACGUAGGUGGCAAGCGUUGUCCGGAAUUAUUGGGCGUAAAGCGCGCGCAGGCGGUCCCUUAAGUCUGAUGUGAAAGCCCACGGCUCAACCGUGGAGGGUCAUUGGAAACUGGGGGACUUGAGUGCAGAAGAGGAGAGCGGAAUUCCACGUGUAGCGGUGAAAUGCGUAGAGAUGUGGAGGAACACCAGUGGCGAAGGCGGCUCUCUGGUCUGUAACUGGCGCUGAGGCGCGAAAGCGUGGGGAGCAAACAGGAUUAGAUACCCUGGUAGUCCACGCCGUAAACGAUGAGUGCUAAGUGUUAGAGGGGUUAAACCCUUUAGUGCUGUAGCUAACGCGUUAAGCACUCCGCCUGGGGAGUACGGCCGCAAGGCUGAA